rnacentral:rRNA from 1 species
UACGUAGGGGGCGAGCGUUAUCCGGAAUUACUGGGCGUAAAGCGCACGCAGGCGGUUCGCCAAGUUUGGAGUGACAGUUGUCGGCUCAACCGACAAAGGACUUCAAAAACUGGUGAACUUGAGGACGAGAGAGGAACAUGGACUCCAGGUGUAGUAGUGGAAAUGCGAUAGAUAUCUGGAAGAACGACCAAUGGCGAAGGCAAAUGUUCUGGCUCGUUUCUGACGCUCAGGUGGCGAAAGCCAGGGGAGCGAACGGG